CCCAACGUGGGCACCUGCUGCGCAUGCUCACCCUACCCGCCACACCAUCAUAAGGAUCCUGAGGCAUCGCUGUUGUUACCUGCUGUCCAAGGACGGCAGCCAGAUUCCCGCCAGCACUGUCUCCAGAAAUGCCGACUCUUCUAGGGUCGACCUUGUACUUGUCUAAGAUUUCUGGCUGCAAGAAAUAUUUAGUGGCACGGAUGAUAUCAUGAAUUGGCUCCGGAUAAUAAACCUGUGGAACCAGCCUGUAUCUGUGAAGACAGAAUUAGUGUUCAUUUUAGGACAUCGCCACGUUUUAAUGGCCACUGGACAUUUAGAGAGAGAGAAAAAAAAGGCAAAAGCCAUACAUAAGCAAGAAAUUAACAUAAAUAGUUUCUCUUGCUGUGAUGAAACACCAUGAGCGAAAAAGCAAGUUGGCGAGGAAAGGUUUACUCGGGGCAGGAACCUGGAGGCAGGAGCUGAAGCAGAGGCCACGGAGGGUGCUGCUCACCGGCUCCAUUCCUAUGGCUUGCUCAGCCUGAUUUCUUAUAGCACCCACGGAUGGUACCAUCCACAAUGGGCUGGGCCCUCCCCCAUGAAUCCGUAAGAAAAUGCCCUACAGCUAGAUCUUAAGGAUGCAUUUUCUAAAUGAAGGGUCCCUCUUUUCAGAUAA